GUUCGUGGUGUGGAGAAUCUCUUAAGUAUCCCUUGUAUCUCUCCCAUACUUGGGAAAGAGAUUCAACAUCUUUUUGAAAAAACCCAUAAAUCCUACCUCUAAGAUC
rfam:Capsicum annuum cultivar Zunla-1 unplaced genomic scaffold scaffold9, whole genome shotgun sequence